CCUACGGGAGGCAGCAGUAGGGAAUCUUCCACAAUGGACGAAAGUCUGAUGGAGCAACGCCGCGUGAGUGAAGAAGGGUUUCGGCUCGUAAAGCUCUGUUGGUAGGGAAGAAAGAUAGAGGUAGUAACUGGCCUUUAGUUGACGGUAAUGACGGAGAAAGGCACGGCUAACUACGUGCCAGCAGCCGCGGUAAGACGUAGGUGGCAAGCGUUGUCCGGAUUUAUUGGGCGGAAAGCGAGUGCAGGCGGUUCAAUAAGUCUGAGGGGAAAGCCUUCGGCUCAACCGGAGAAUUGCAUCAGAAACUUUUGAACUUGAGUGCAGCAGAGGCGAGUGGAACUCCAUGUGUCGCGGUGGAAUGCGUAGAUAUAUGG
rnacentral:rRNA from 1 species